GCCAGCGUGGUGCAGUGGUUUGAAUAUUGGACUAUGACUCUGGAGACCAGCGUUCAAGUCCCAGCUCAGCCA
rnacentral:tRNA from 1 species